CAGGUCAGUAGUGGGCGCUGCUGAGGGUAUCAGUAUAGGGUGUAAGUUCCCUUUAAAUAUGUCACUUCCUGUUGGUUGGAAUGGCUGCAGUGUUUGAAUUGUUUGGCAUGGUUGGUCGCUGGAAGAACAAGCUCUGUUGGUUUGUUUAGACGUGUGUUCUAAAUACCUUAAUGCUGAGAAGGUUUGACUGGAUGAGUGGUGGACACUGGGUUACCAUUGCAGUACACUGCACAGAAGUUUCCUUAAAGGCCCUUAUAUUGGCUGCUGAACGAGAUGAGCAGUGGAUAUUAACGACGGUUGUACUUCCUGUGGUGUCUGAAAUAAGGUAUCUAUUUAUUCAUGUAAUUCUGGAAUAGCUAGCAUAGUUUAACAUUGAUUGAUUUUGUAAUAGAUGUACGGGCCUAAUGUUAUGUCUAGAGAUAAUACUUGUAUGUUUUAAUAAGAAUGUGUUUUUGCCUUAUUGUUUUUCCUUUAUAGAAUUUGAUCCAUCCAGUGUAAAUGACCACUGUUUUUCCCUACCUUUUGUGUUUUUUUGUUUCUUUAUAGGGUUAUGGUAUUGUAAUCGGUUUUCUAUUUAUUUGUGAUUUUGUUUGUUUUUGUUUUUUUGGCCCAGAAUUAAUCCGUUGUAUUUUCUUUAUGGUUUAUUUUGUGAACUUCAAGCUAAGUCAGUUUCAACAGCUCUUAAUAGAGUAACUAUGAGGGGAAGAUACUCAUUUUGAUUUAUACACCAGUGUGGUGUGGAACGAGUUUGAGUGUGUUUUUGUGCACGUAGUGUGCGGUGCAGAAAGUUUGUAAUUUCUUUUGGGGUUUAUUGUAUUUAUUUAUUUUUUGUGUAUAUUUUCUUUUUGAGGUAUUGUUACCCAACAUAAUCUAGUGUACUGACAUCCUGUAUUACUAAAUGUGGUUAGCUUGUGAAGGAAAUCAAAUGAGACCAGAAUCCAUGUAUUUAAUAAAAGUGAUGUUUUAAUUCUUAUAGCAGUUUGGCCUUAAGCUUAUUCAUUUAAUUGGAUAGCCGAGCGGGGAAACCCUUGAGUGAUUGGGGAUCUCCUACCCAAGUAUAAUUGGAGUGGCGUAGUCAAGAGCAAUCAAACACCUUUGUAGCCUCAUCACACCAUGUAAAUCCUUUAUUUAAUUUGUUCAAACAUUAUUUAAAAUGUUCAAACUAUGGUUAUUGCACUGACAUAAGGGCUGUUCUAUUAUGAAGGGGGGAAAAUCACAUACUAUUCCACCACACACUUCAGCUUAACCCAGAGGUUUUGCUCUGCACUUUGUCUGAAAAUCUAAUCAAGCUCUUUUUGGAAGCAGUAGCUGGUAAGGGAUUUCCCUUUUAUGACAAUUUUGGAACUUGGAAGAAUAUUAUGGAGCGUCAUUGCACCAGAGGAUGAUGACUGUAAGUGUUUUUAAUUCUUCCAUUUGGACAGGUGUUUCCCUCACUUUCUGAGCAAUGAAGAAUCCUCGGUGGGACAUGUCAUUAUUAACCCGACUAAUUUGGUCUUAAUCCUCUGCCAAAGCUGGCUGGACCGUUAUGCUAUUUUCUGGUCAGUAUUCUGGGGUUGUAUUAUUAAUGAAGGAAAGAAAAGGUGAUUGCUAAAGGCGAGACCUUGCAUGGCCUGAACCAUUUCUGUUUACAACAGUGCAUAGUGGUCAUUCUGACAGAUCAGUUGCUCUAACAUUAUAGUUUCAGGGAUCCUCAAAACUGCCCAACAUGAUCCACUUUCCUGCAGAGUUUAGCUCUAACCUUAAUCAAACACACCUAAACAUACUAAUCAGUGUCUUCAGGAUUAAAAAAUCACAGGUAUUUGAGUUUGUAACCCCA